AACGAACGCUGGCGGCAUGCCUAACACAUGCAAGUCGAACGAGACCUUCGGGUCUAGUGGCGCACGGGUGCGUAACGCGUGGGAACCUGCCCUUAGGUUCGGAAUAACUCCCCGAAAGGGGUGCUAAUACCGGAUAAUGUCUUCGGACCAAAGACUUAUCGCCUUUGGAUGGGCCCGCGUUGGAUUAGCUAGUUGGUAGGGUAAAAGCCUACCAAGGCGACGAUCCAUAGCUGGUCUGAGAGGAUGAUCAGCCACACUGGGACUGAGACACGGCCCAGACUCCUACGGGAGGCAGCAGUGGGGAAUAUUGGACAAUGGGCGAAAGCCUGAUCCAGCAAUGCCGCGUGAGUGAUGAAGGCCUUAGGGUUGUAAAGCUCUUUUACCCGGGAUGAUAAUGACAGUACCGGGAGAAUAAGCUCCGGCUAACUCCGU
rnacentral:rRNA from 1 species